rnacentral:tRNA from 1 species
GGAAGGGUGGAUGAGCGGUUUAAGUCAUACGCCUGGAAAGCGUACGUAGGGUUAUACCUACCGCGGGUUCGAAUCCCGCCUCUUCCGCCA